rnacentral:rRNA from 1 species
UACGGGGGGAGCAAGCGUUGUUCGGAUUUACUGGGCGUAAAGGGCGCGUAGGCGGUCAGCACAAGUCAGUUGUGAAAUCUCCGGGCUUAACUCGGAAAGGUCAACUGAUACUGUGCGACUAGAGUGCAGAAGGGGCAACUGGAAUUCUCGGUGUAACGGUGGAAUGCGUAGAGAUCGGGAAGAACACCCGUGGCGAAGGCGGUGUGCUGGGUUGCAACUGACGCUGAGAUGCGAAAGUGUGGGUAGCAAACGGG